GCGCAUGCGUGCGCGUGGGGUGGGCCGUAGAGAUCCCGGCCCCGGCCCCGGCCCCGGCCCCGGCAUGGUGGAGGCAUCUUGGAGGCCGGCCCGGAGGGGUGGGUCAGGCCUCCGCCCUGGCUGUGUCCUCGCAGCCCCCCCGGCUCCUGGCCCGCGGGUGGCACGCGCGUCCCUGCGCCGUGGCUUCCCGCCCUUAGGCCGCCGCGGCAGCGCUCCUCCCCGGGCCUGGAAGCCCUGAGGGGCAGCCCGGUCCAUUUGGCUGCGUGCGGUGCCGCCGCUGACAGGAGUCGUGGGGCUGGGGUCUGCCUCCCGCCGGGGAGCCCUGCCGGCCCCGAACACGCCGGGCUGUAUCUGUGGGACCGUUCACGGGGUCGCGGCUUCUCUGAGAAAACGUGAGAGUUUAUUCCAGUAUAUUUCACAGCUGAGAAACACCAGUGUCACAGAAGAGCCAGAUUUCCAGUGUGAUUUAGCCUGAAUAUCGUUGAUGAUGACAAGCUAAAACAUAAGAGACUACAGGCAUGCCCCUGCAUAAUUGCUAAGAGUAUCACAGAUGGAAAGAAGCAGCUACUCAGGUAUUCAGGUCACAAACUAGGAAUGAACUUAAUUCUGCCGUUACUUCCGAUUCGUCCUCAACCUACAUCAGAGAGAUCAGAGUAGACAGAUGAGAUCUUCACGUCAGAACCACACCAAAGCCCCUAUCACUCCUGUCUUCAUUGACGCUUCCCAGGACCACACAACAUUUCUACAGAAUUUAUAACCUGUGUUAUCAAAAGCUGCAGAUAAAAAAAAAGAAGUCGUCGUCUUUACCUAUUGUGAGGAUAUCAACUGAUGCAGUGAAAGCCCUUUUUUUUAUCCCAAUGCCAAACCUGAGGGCAAACUCAUCUGAAAUGAGAAAAUCUGACAGUCUGGGGUAGUAUAUAUACCCUUGUAUUUAAACUGACCGGCUUUUUCCAUACACACAAAUGGUGACAGUUAACAAUUUUGGCCACAUAAAUUUGGAUCAAAUACUGAUAAUUUUCAAGUUCUGCAAGAAAUGAAAUCUUAGUAAUAAUCAAAGCAAUUUCUCAUAUAAAUUAAAUCAGAUAAGACUCAGUCUUUUAUUCCAAAACAUUUUACUACAAACUAUGUAACUGAUUAUAGCCAACUUUACUGGACAUGUAGUUAGUGAUUACUAUGACAGUCUAAUACAUUAACUCUCCAAGAACAGAAGAUCUUAUUGCUCCAAAUCUCUUUUUGAAUUGAAGUAUUAGUCUAUUACAUGGAUCAUUUCACAGCUGGCUCUGAUUUAUCUCAGUUUUGAUGCAGCAAUUAAUUUUGCUCAGAAUUAGGAGAGCAGAAAGAUGUAGUCAGUCAUUUCUGUAGUCUCUGGUUACAGUGCUAUUUGAUUGAAGGGGUAAGGUUCAAAUACAUAUUUUUUUAGCAGUGAACUUCUAGAAUCCUUCAAGGCCACAUGACAAAGUAAAAAAAUCACAGUGAGGUUUUUUUUCCUAGCAAAGUAAAAUGUCACAAUAUAUAGCAUGUGUGAUUUAGUGACUCCAAAUAAGCAGGUUCACAUAUUAAUUGAUUCCCCUCAGCUCUGUUAGUCAGGACAGCUACUUUGCACAAUCCACUGAGAUAAAAAAUCGUCAGGAAAAACAAGGAAGAGCCUUUCAGACCCACUCGUUUUUAUCAGUUACACUCUGAAUUACAGUCACAUACUUCCCCAUAUUAACAGAUCACGUAUUUGAACCUUCAUCCUGAAAAAUCAAUGGGCACAUCUUGAACACUGACUCAAUUUUUUCACUACUUUUUUUCCCUUUCUGCCCCAAUCUCAGAACUUUUAGAUUGUGUAUCUGUAUCACAGGCAGUUCUAUACACUGCUUUAUACCUGCAUAUAUAAAGAAAUAAUAUGGCAUUAAAUUAAUUUACACCUUGCACUGAUUUUAAUAUGACAUUUAAGGAAAAACAGGAAUUUUUCAUCAGUUACUGAUCUAAAGUUUCAAUGUGAACUUUAGUUCAGUAACUCAAACACUGUGUGUGUACAUAGCGAUUACAAAGCUUAUGUAUCUACACAUAUAUUCUGAUUAUUGUCAGAGCAGUACCAAGGGGAGGUGUUCAGGCACUGAUGCCUUAUUUUUUUCCCUUUUGGUACUUGUAACACACCAAAAAGCUACAACAGUACUGCAGAUUGCUCUGAAAUCAUCAGACUCCUUACUGGCAAGUCCUGGUGUCACACCUCCUAGGUCCUAGGAACAGUUUUUGGUGAGAAAAGACACUACUGACAGUAGAGGAUGAUCGAGUUAGGAACCACUAAGGCAAAUCUGACAUAUCCAAGUCUUUGCAACUGGAUGAGAUGCAUCGCAGGAUGCUGGAACUGAAUUUGAGGAGAUAUAGCUGCUGCUAAGGAAUUACUGCUUGUGAUGCUGUCCUCCAAAAUGUAGCAUCUCAUCUUGCUAGAUGAGGGCACAAUGAUUGUAUUUUCACCUCAAGUUUGUUAAAGCAGCUGCUUUCAACUUGUUGGAUAUGGGAGUAUGCCUACAGAAUGUGUGAUAGGGUACAGGAAGACAACUAUCAGAACAGUGUUUAUAUCAUUGCAAUAAAUUAGUUUCUUGGAACUGACUUCAACCGAAUAGUUUCCAGGGUUAUAUUGAAGUUAUUACAGAAUUUAUUUAUAUAUCCCUAUUCAAGUAGCAGUCUUUAUUUUAACCUCAAAUUGCUUUUUAAAUCUCUCAUGCAGGUAUCUCUUUUAAAAACCUGAAAACACAGCAUUGUUUUCUUACUUUGUCAAUUUGAUUCAUACUUUGUGUAUAUAAAAGUGAUUUUAAUAAUUUUGUAAAUUACACAAUAAAAAAAGUGCAAAGCUAAUGCAGCAGACUAAAAAUGUUAUGAAGUUUUGAGGUUUUAUCUCAACAGUAGU